rnacentral:tRNA from 1 species
UCCAUCUUGGCAGAUGAAUGCGAUAAAUUUAGAAUUUAUUUAUGAAUUUUCAGUUGGAA